UACGUAGGGGGCGAGCGUUAUCCGGAAUUACUGGGCGUAAAGCGCACGCAGGCGGUUCGCCAAGUUUGGAGUGACAGUUGUCGGCUCAACCGACAAAGGACUUCAAAAACUGGUGAACUUGAGGACGAGAGAGGAACAUGGAACUCCAGGUGUAGUAGUGAAAUGCGUAGAUAUCUGGAAGAACACCCGUGGCUAAGGCGGCUCUCUAGUACGGUACUGACGCUGAGACGCGAAAGCGUGGGGAGCGAACAGG
rnacentral:rRNA from 1 species